rnacentral:rRNA from 1 species
GAAGUCCUACGGGGGGCAGCAGUGGGGAAUAUUGCACAAUGGGGGAAACCCUGAUGCAGCGACGCCGCGUGAGUGAAGAAGUAUCUCGGUACGUAAAGCUCUAUCAGCAGGGAAGAAAAUGACGGUACCUGACUAAGAAGCCCCGGCUAACUACGUGCCAGCAGCCGCGGUAAUACGUAGGUGGCGAGCGUUAUCCGGAAUGAUUGGGCGUAAAGGGUGCGCAGGCGGUCCUGCAAGUCUGGAGUGAAACGCAUGAGCUCAACUCAUGCAUGGCUUUGGAAACUGGAGGACUGGAGAGCAGGAGG